rfam:Ricinus communis cultivar Hale ctg_1100012356291, whole genome shotgun sequence.
AAAUUUGAUGUGGGCAUUGAAUCAAAUAAACCUUGAAUCCCUCCCAAGCAUCAAGAGAAGAUUCUCCUUCUUUCUGAGUGAAAUUAUAAAUUCUAGACCUAUAAUCU